rnacentral:rRNA from 1 species
AUGGGGCCCGCCGCUGUACAGGCUCCCAGGGAGGGUAUUCAAGAUGCUCUACGCCCACCAGCACGAUGGGCUCAGUUGGCUCUGGUCGCUGCACUGCAGGGGAACCGGCGGGAUCCUAGGGGACGACAUGGGACUCGGCAAGACCAUGCAGGUUUCUGCCUUUUUGGCAGGGUUGUUCCAUUCCAGUUUGAUCAGGAAGGUGCUAGUCGUCGCCCCAAAGACACUUCUCACCCAUUGGAUCAAGGAGCUUUAAGUUGUCGGCCUCAGCCACAUGAUAUGCGAAAAAUGUGGGCGAUUUUCAAUUUCUGUUGCCCGGAAGCCAUGGGUGAUGAGGAAGAAACAAGGUAUCAACGGCCUAUCAGUCGAGGAAAUGACAAGACCGCAAGCAAUCGAGAGAAGCACAUACGCUCAAAUGCAGCGAAGGAAUUAAGAGAACGGAUAAAGCCAAAUUUCUUGCGACGCAUGAAAAGUGAAGUGUCCCUUGAGACUGGGUUGACAGAUGAUAAAAAGCUUCCAAAGAAGGAUGAGCUAAUUAUCUGGCUGAAAUUAACAGAUUGCCAGAGACGUCUAUAUGAAGCUUUUCUGAACAGUGAGCUAGUUCAAUUUGAAUCGGAAGGAAAUCCCUUGGCUGCUCUUAAUGUAUUGAAAAAAAUAUGUGAUCACCCACUGAUAUGCACUCAGAGAGCUGCUGGGGACAUCUUGGAAGGCAUGGAUGGAGAUUUUAGUACUCAGGAUAUAGUGAUGGUUGAAAAAAUGGCCAUGAACCUCGCAGAUAUGGCUCAUGAUGAUGAUGCAGUACAGUUCAGUCAGGAAGUCUCAUGCAAGUUAUCUUUUAUCCUGUCUUUGUUGCCGAAUCUUCUUGAAGAGGGCCACAAUGUUCUGAUAUUUUCUCAGACUUGUAAAAUGCUAAACCUUAUUCAGGAAGCUAUAAUAUUAGAGGGCUACGACUUUUCUCGCAUGGAUGGUGGCAUCACUGAUAUUUCCGAGAGGGAAAGGAUUGUGAAGGAUUUUCAAGAGGGCUACGGAGGUCAAAUAUUUUUACUGACCACAAAGGUCGGUGGUCUUGGACUUACACUCACCAAGGCAGCUCGUGUCAUACUAGUCGAUCCUGCUUGGAAUCCAAGUACGGAUAAUCAGAGCGUUGAUUGGGUUGAUCGAAUUGGACAGACCAAAGAAGUGAUUGUGUACCGCUUAAUGACCUCUGCAACUGUCGAAGAAAAGAUGUAUAAAUCGCAGGUCCUCAAGGGUGGUUUGUUUAGGGCAGCCACGGAGAAGAAAGAACAGAGACGUUACUUCAGCCAGAGCGACCUUUGGGAGCUUUUCAGUAUGCCGGAACAAGGUUUUGAUGUUUCCCUCACGCAGAAACAACUGCAAGAAGAGCAUGGACAGCAGCUUGACAUGGACGAGUCGUUGCGGGAGCACAUCCAGUUUCUGGAGAAGCAAGGAAUAGCAGGUGUGAGCCAUCACAGCCUCCUAUUUUCAGAAACAGAAAUCUUGCCGAUGUUGAGUGAGAACGAUGCUCCGGGCAGGGGUGCCCAUGGUAAGCCGAAGGUCGAGGGCGUCACUGCUAGAACACACUUGGCAGGCAAGAACACAGAUUCAGAUAUCCCUGAAGAAAUCAACUGGCUGUCGGAAACCCUCGCGAGCACGACGCUGGAGCCGAGCCUGCCUCAGUGUGGAGACGGGACACAUGGUUUGGAUGACAAAAGCUGGCGGUGA